CAGGAUGAACGCUAGCUACAGGCUUAACACAUGCAAGUCGAGGGGAAACGGCAUUGAGUGCUUGCACUCUUUGGACGUCGACCGGCGCACGGGUGAGUAACGCGUAUCCAACCUUCCCAUUACUGUGGGAUAACCUGCCGAAAGGCAGACUAAUACCGCAUAGUCUUCGAUGACGGCAUCAGAUUUGAAGUAAAGAUUUAUCGGUAAUGGAUGGGGAUGCGUCUGAUUAGCUUGUUGGCGGGGUAACGGCCCACCAAGGCAACGAUCAGUAGGGGUUCUGAGAGGAAGGUCCCCCACAUUGGAACUGAGACACGGUCCAAACUCCUACGGGAGGCAGCAGUGAGGAAUAUUGGUCAAUGGGCGAGAGCCUGAACCAGCCAAGUAGCGUGCAGGAUGACGGCCCUAUGGGUUGUAAACUGCUUUUGUAUGGGGAUAAAGUCAAUCACGUGUGAUUGUUUGCAGGUACCAUACGAAUAAGGACCGGCUAAUUCCGUGCCAGCAGCCGCGGUAAUACGGAAGGUCCGGGCGUUAUCCGGAUUUAUUGGGUUUAAAGGGAGCGUAGGCUGGAGAUUAAGUGUGUUGUGAAAUGUAGACGCUCAACGUCUGACUUGCAGCGCAUACUGGUUUCCUUGAGUACGCACAACGUUGGCGGAAUUCGUCGUGUAGCGGUGAAAUGCUUAGAUAUGACGAAGAACUCCGAUUGCGAAGGCAGCUGACGGGAGCGCAACUGACGCUGAAGCUCGAAGGUGCGGGUAUCGAACAGGAUUAGAUACCCUGGUAGUCCGCACAGUAAACGAUGGAUGCCCGCUGUUGGUACCUGGUAUCAGCGGCUAAGCGAAAGCAUUAAGCAUCCCACCUGGGGAGUACGCCGGCAACGGUGAAACUCAAAGGAAUUGACGGGGGCCCG
rnacentral:rRNA from 1 species